GAUGAACGCUGGCGGCGUGCUUAACACAUGCAAGUCGAACGAAGCACUUAUGACAGAUUCUUCGGAUGAUGGAUUAAGUGACUGAGUGGCGGACGGGUGAGUAACGCGUGGGUAACCUGCCUCAUACAGGGGGAUAACAGUUAGAAAUGACUGCUAAUACCGCAUAAGCGCACAAUACCGCAUGGUAUGGUGUGAAAAACUCCGGUGGUAUGAGAUGGACCCGCGUCUGAUUAGCUAGUUGGUGGGUAACGGCCUACCAAGGCGACGAUCAGUAGCCGGCCUGAGAGGGUGAACGGCCACAUUGGGACUGAGACACGGGCCCAAAACUCCUACGGGAGCAGCAGUGGGGAAUAUUGCACAAUGGGGGGAAACCCUGAUGCAGCGACGCCGCGUGAGUGAAGAAGUAUUUCGGUAUGUAAAGCUCUAUCAGCAGGAAGAAAAUGACGGUACCUGACUAAGAAGCACGGCUAAAUACGUGCCAGCAG
rnacentral:rRNA from 1 species